rnacentral:ribozyme from 13 species
AAAGAGCACCAGCAAUAAAUUAUGUCUUCUUUUCAUGAACAUUUUGGAUGAAAAAGAAAGUAAAAUAAAA